rnacentral:pre_miRNA from 1 species
UGGACAGAUUAUUGUAUUCGACUGUAUUCACGGCGUGAAACAGGGGAUUAUGCUAUUUUUAAACGGAAAGUGAAUCAAUUAACAUAAUCGACUCCU